UUUUGCUGGCUCGUGUUACACUUGACGUCCCCAUCAAGAACUUUAUCGCUUAACGUUAGUAGUCUCCGUCUUGUGUCGCUGUCUCACGGUGUUGCACUUGAGUCGACGUCUCCAUCAAGGAAUUUAUCGCUUAACGUUAGUAGUCUCCGUCUUGUGUCGCUGUCUCACGGUGUUGCACUUGAGUCGACGUCUCCAUCAAGGAAUUUGUAAGUAACAUUGUU